ensembl:lncRNA
AUCAGACUACAUCUGCUCUAUUAGGUACAGACGGCUGACUUCCACACAUCAGACUACAUCUGCUCUAUUAGGUACAGACAGGUGACUUCUACACAUCAGACUACAUCUGCUCUAUUAGAUACAGACAGCUGACUUCCACACAUCAGACUACAUCUGCUCUAUUAGGUACAGACAGCUGACUUCCACACAUCAGACUACAUCUGCUCUAUUAGGUACAGACGGCUGACUUCCACACCUCAGACUACAUCUGCUCUAAUAGGUACAGACGGCUGACUUCCACACCUCAGACUACAUCUGCUCUAAUAGGUACAGACGGCUGACUUCUACACAUCAGACUACAUCUGCUCUAUUAGGUACAGACAGCUGACUUCCACACAUCAGACUACAUCUGCUCUAAUAG